GCUAAAACUGUAAGAGUUGUGAAGUUGUGACGGAACUUGUCGACUGCCUUCGGAAACUGUCGUUGAUGGCAUGAGGCAAUGAUAUUAAAAAGCCAGUUGUCACAGAAAAGGUAUCUUACAACUAUUAAACGACUUUAAUACUGGAAGAUGCAUCACUCAGCAAAAUUACAGUUGGCAACGCUGGGAGAAAUACUCGAAUGAAUUUUUCACAGCAAACGGUAAGUUAAUUUUUGUUAUUUCAAUCGACAUUUUAUUUAUGUUUACAAUUUGUGAAUCUGUCAUUUCAUAUUAUAUUAUUAAAACAUUGUCAUUGCUAUCGUGUUGCUAUUCAUGUCUGCUCUGGACUCUGCUUCUGGUCAAGGAGAUUUUGAUCACGCUUCAUAUAAAGCUUUAUAUAGUGAGUUUAUAAUCCUGUUUAUAAUCAAACGUUCUUGCACAGAUCUUGAAUUUUAAUAUACCACAUUAUGUGGGUAAUAGUUGGCAUAGCCCAUUGUUGGCAUAUUUUACAACAAUACUACAACUGCCCUGUCCACUUGCAGCUAUAAAACUUUAACUACACUUAACACAGAAAACAGGCUGGACUAUUUUAUAUUAAUAUAGUCUAGUAGUUACUAGCGUGGAAGCUCAGUCUGUUUACAUACAGUUGAAGGAUCUUCUAGCUAGAUGGAAGUAAUUGAGUGAAAAUGUAUUAUUUUACAUUUAUUAGAUCUAUUAAACUAGGAGAUGCAACUGUAGGUGCAGUUUAUUUUUGGAUAUCUAGUCCAGAUGUAAAUAAUAUGUAUUAUUAUAUCUGAUCUAAGAUCAGCAGGGGCGUAGAGACAGGGGAGUGUGUGUGUGUGUGGGGGGGAGGGGGGCAAACUCCACAACUGUGAAACUCAGGUAAAGCUCAAAUACUUGUAAAUUUUUACAUUCUCAGGUAAACUUUGUGUAAAAGUCGUUAUUUUUGUAAAAUGAUGACCAUUUGACAUCCGACACCCCCCCAAACUUCAGAUGCUUUGCUACGUCCCUGAAAAUUAGUGCAAUCACAAUAAAACACUGACCGUUGCAGUUGCGAGAGUAUAUAUGAAGAAAACCCACAGUCAUAAUGUGAUGAGGUCGACAAGUUUCAACAUUUCUUUUCAGCACUUAAUAACAGCAGUGUCAAUUGAGUAGCAUGUUCAUACUUUUAUUGCCACAGUUAAAUGUGUUGUUUAACCUAAUGAGCUGCAAUGCACCCCAGGCCCCCAGUGCACCCUACUUAUUUCUUUUACUUGUCUAAUGCCAGACGAUUUUACCCGUCAAUGGGGAAGCUCUGCCGCUUAAUGGGUUAAAUUUAUACUUGCAUCAUUUACAAUGUAUCAGUCUUGUGAGCUGCCAGUAAAUAUUUGGUUCUUAAUUUUAAACAAUUUGCAGAUAAAAGCACAAUUCAAAAUCAUAGUGAUGAUGCAUGGCAUCUACAGUACUUCAAACAACUAAGUGAACACAUAUUCUGGUCAAUUUGCUGAUAAUAUGGUGACUAGUGAUAAUAUUGGAUAAUAUAGGAAGAUCAGAAUAUUUGCACAAGUGUCAGGGCAAUACAAGUUAGUGGUGAUGACAAAAUUGAUUUGAUGAGUUCAUUAUAAAUUCCGAUGCUGUUAGAUCUUACAAUAAAUAAAAAUGUUUAGAAAUCUAGUAUUAAAUAUAUUAUGUUAAUGAAGAACUUUGAAUUUAAAGGUUUUAUGAAAUCUGCGAUGCUAGCAAUUCAAGAAAGCUAAUAACUUGUAAACCAGACAACAGAAUAUAUCUGUAACAAGAAACCGAUGUAAUGAAAUCUUAGUGAAUUACAUAUUAGUGCAGUUUUGAAAAACAAUAAAAUUGACAUUAUUAGUUGCUGCAUGUAUAUACUUAUUAUUGAAGCAAAACCGAAUGUUGCUUUUAAAUCAAGUGAUUGUAGCCAUUUGUUGGCAUUGUAAGAAAGAUGCUGCAUCUGUUUUAUUUUGACCAUUCUUCUAUAAUUGUAAUGAUUAAUUUUGUAUCAAAAUGAAUGUUUGUGAUGAAUGUUCAUUAAUGUGAAUUCCGGCUGUAUUCGACCAGGCUGAAUAGGCUAGCCACAUGUACGCAGUGCGUACCUAUUUUUAUA